rnacentral:rRNA from 1 species
AUUGAACGCUGGCGGCAGGCCUAACACAUGCAAGUCGAGCGGAUGACGGGAGCUUGCUCCUUGAUUCAGCGGCGGACGGGUGAGUAAUGCCUAGGAAUCUGCCUGGUAGUGGGGGGCAACGGUUCGAAAGGAACGCUAAUACCGCAUACGUCCUACGGGAGAAAGCAGGGGACCUUCGGGCCUUGCGCUAUCAGAUGAGCCUAGGUCGGAUUAGCUAGUAGGUGAGGUAAUGGCUCACCUAGGCGACGAUCCGUAACUGGUCUGGGAGGAUGAUCAGUCACACUGGAACUGAGACACGGUCCAGACUCCUACGGGAGGCAGCAGUGGGGAAUAUUGGACAAUGGGCGAAAGCCUGAUCCAGCCAUGCCGCGUGUGUGAAGAAGGUCUUCGGAUUGUAAAGCACUUUAAGUUGGGAGGAAGGGCAGUAAGUUAAUACCUUGCUGUUUUGACGUUCCCGACAGAAUAAGCACCGGCUAACUCUGUGCCAGCAGCCGCCGUAACAC